UGAGGAAUAUUGGACAAUGGGCGGGAGCCUGAUCCAGCCAUGCCGCGUGCAGGAUGACUGCCCUAUGGGUUGUAAACUGCUUUUACAUGGGAAGAAACGCACCUACGAGUAGGUGUCUGACGGUACCAUGAGAAUAAGGACCGGCUAACUCCGUGCCAGCAGCCGCGGUAAUACGGAGGGUCCGAGCGUUAUCCGGAAUCAUUGGGUUUAAAGGGUCCGUAGGCGGGCCUAUAAGUCAGAGGUGAAAGGCCACGGCUCAACCGUGGGACUGCCUUUGAUACUGUAGGUCUUGAGUCGUUGUGGAGUUGCCGGAACAUGUGGUGUAGCGGUGAAAUGCAUAGAUAUCACAUAGAACACCGAUCGCGAAGGCAGGUAACUAACAACGUACUGACGCUGAUGGACGAAAGCGUGGGUAGCGAACGGGGAUUAGAUACCCCGGUAGUCCACGCCGUAAAACGAUGGAUACUAGCUGUCGGGACUUCGGUCUCGGCGGCCAAGCGAAAGUGAUAAGUAUCCCACCUGGGAGUACGUUCGCAAGAAUGAAACU
rnacentral:rRNA from 1 species